GCCUCAGGAGGCUGUGUCCACCAUGGCCUGGGUUCCUCUCCUUCUCCUGCUCAUCUCCCAUUGUACAGGUUCCCUCUCCCAGCCUGUGCUGACUCAGCCACCCUCCCUCUCUGCAUCCCCGGGAGCAUCUGUGAGACUCACCUGCACUCUGAGCAGUGGCCUCAGUGUUGGUGACUUCUGGAUACGCUGGUUACAGCAGAAACCAGAGAGCCCUCCCCGGUAUCUCCUGGCAUUCAAGUCUGACUCAGACAAGAACCAGGGCUCCGGGGUCCCCAGUCGCUUCUCUGGAGCCAAAGAUGCCUCGACUAACUCAGGUGUUCUGCACAUCUCUGGGCUGCAGCCUGAGGACGAGGCUGACUAUUACUGCUGUGUGGGGCAUGAGGGUUCUAAGACUUACACGGUGGUCCAGAUGCACAGGGAAGUGAGACAAAAACCUCCCCAGAUCCUCCAGCCUGAUGCAGUUACCCUGUCCCUGCUUGUGACCCAGUCUCCCUUAGAUGGGUGA